rnacentral:rRNA from 1 species
GGUCACAUGGGCGCAGUCUGACGGAGCAUACCGCGUGAGGGAAGACUGCCUAUGGGUUGUAAACCUCUUUUUUCAGGGAGGAAUAAAAUGACGUGUACCUGAAGAAUAAGCAUCGGCUAACUCCGUGCCAGCAGCCGCGGUAGCACGGAGGAUGCAAGUGUUAUCCGGAAUCACUGGGCGUAAAGCGUCUGUAGGUGGUUUAAUAAGUCAACUGUUAAAUCUUGAUGGCUCAACUUCAAAAUCCCAAUCUAAACUAUUGCACUAGAUUAUGGUAGAGGUAAAGGAAAUUUCCAUUGAAGCGGUGAAUUGCGUAAAGAUUGAAAAGAACACCAAUGGCAAAAGCACUUUUUGGGGCUAUUACUAACUCUCAAAAACAAAACCUAGGGUAGCAAAUGGGAUUAAAUACCCCAGUAAUCCUACCUGUAAACAAUGGAUACUAUAUGUUGAACAAAUCGACCUGUGCAGUAUCAAACCUAACGCGUUAAGUAUCCCGCCUGGGAAGUAUGCUCGCAAAAUUGAAACUCAAAGGAAUUGACGGAUG